UACGUAGGGGGCAAGCGUUGUUCGGAAUCAUUGGGCGUAAAGAGCGUGUAGGCGGCUGGACAAGUCAGAUGUGAAAUCCCUGGGCUUAACCCAGGAAGUGCAUUUGAAACUGUCUAGCUGGAGUAAGGGAGAGGAAAGUGGAAUUCCUGGUGUAGAGGUGAAAUUCGUAGAUAUCAGGAGGAACACCGGUGGCGAAGGCGACUUUCUGGCCCUAUACUGACGCUGAGACGCGACAGCGUGUGUAGCAAACAGGAUUAAAUACCCUGGUAGUCCACGCUGUAAACGAUGUUCACUAGGUGUUGGGGGUAUUGAUCCUUUCAGUGCCGCAGCUAACGCAUUAAGUGAACCGCCUGGGGAGUACGGUCGCAAGAUUAAA
rnacentral:rRNA from 1 species